AGCGAACGCUGGCGGCAGGCUUAACACAUGCAAGUCGAGCGGGCACUUCGGUGUCAGCGGCAGACGGGUGAGUAACACGUGGGAACGUACCCUUCGGUUCGGAAUAACGCUGGGAAACUAGCGCUAAUACCGGAUACGCCCUUUUGGGGUAAGGUUUACUGCCGAAGGAUCGUCCCGCGUCUGAUUAGCUAGUUGGUGGGGUAAUGGCCUACCAAGGCGACGAUAAGUAGCUGGUCUGAGAGGAUGAUAAGCCACACUGGGACUGAGACACGGCCCAGACUACUACGGGAGGCAGCAGUGGGGAAUAUUGGAAAAUGGGCGCAAGCCUGAUCCAGCCAUGCCGGGUGAGUGAUGAAGGCCUUAGGGUUGUAAAGCUAUUUUGUCCGGGACGAUAAUGACGGUACCGGAAGAAUAAGCCCCGGCUAACUUCGUG
rnacentral:rRNA from 1 species